GGCGCUAUAGUGUAGUGGUUAUCACUUGGGAUUCUGAUCAACAGUGUUCCCAAAACCCAGGUUCGAGCCCUGGUAGCGCCU
rnacentral:tRNA from 1 species